UAGCACAUGUAGUAUUAGAAUCUACUAGAAAAAAAUGUUAUUUUAUUUUUCUAUUUUUUUUUCUAUUCUAGAUUUUAUUUUCAGUGGCAUUGAGGGUUGAUAGGGCCACAGGAGGAAGGCCCAAAGACCACUCUUCAUUAAUGGCACAUGUCUGUUCCAUCCAUAAACAGAGAUCUACAGGGUGUCCUGAGAACUGUUGAUUAGCAAGUCUGAUUUCCAGUCCUAGUAAGGCAGUUUAAUCUGUGAUGAAGAGAAAGAACAUUGUGCUCUUAUGCCCGUCAGCACACAGCAAACAUGAUGCACAGGGCACAGACUGAGUAGCUCCAUGGAAAUCAGCAGACAUCACAGAUCCCCUGAGGAGCUCAGUUGAUGUUGAGAGCUUAUUUCACCAACAGGCUGAAAUGAUUCAGAAUUCUCCUGGCCUGGAAUACAAGUCUUGCGAUGAGUGGAUAUGGGAUCUGGGAUUGUUUAUUCUAGAAAACAGGAGGCUCAGGACAGAUCUUACCACUCACUCUGCAAUGACCUGAAAGAAGGCUGUAGCAAGAAAUCUAUUAACCAAAGAGUCUGGAGCAGUCACUCAUAAAGUACUGAAGACCAAAUUCACCAAUAUUGUAUUUGAAGAUGAAACUCAGACCAGUUUGGACUCACAACUGGAUGUGUAAGGACACAUUCUUGCAUUCAGAUGAGAUAGAUGGAAUGAUUUUCGGCAUUGCUCAUGUACUUUGGGCAUGGAAGGUGGACUUCAAAGUGAAAGUAUAUCUGCUCAGCAUCUUCUCAUCUGUGAGGCUGACACAUGCCACUUGGAGAACAAAAGUGACUUUAGGAAGGAAUGACACUAAUUUUCAAAAAUCAAAGCCUUAAGCCUGCAUUCCAUAUUUUUAUGCUGACAAGUCAUUGACAAGAGUAUCAAGAAAUGGAGGCCACAACAAACCUACCAAAUUCCCUGCAGAAGGAUACCUGGGACAUAAUCAGGAUGAGUGAGUACUGAUGCAGUGUAGGCAUGUGAAGAAAUACUAAGGGAUUCUUAUCAGUAGACCUUUAAGAAUUGUCAUUGCUCAAAACACUUUGUUGACCUUGAUGCAUAAAGCUAUACUGCUUUAUCAAUAUGAAGGGGGGGAUUUCACAGACUGUAGUCCAGGCAAAUGCCUUGGAUACUUUGAAGAAUGAAAAUGAAGAGUGACCAUAUCUUCUGGGGUCAACCUGAGACUGCAUUUCUGACUCUUUCUGAAUUGGCUAAGCACUCUUUCUUGAUAGAUCAGCUCAAUAGUGAAGAGGUGAUAGGUGGAGACUCCAAUUUUUUUUUAUGGCUUGGCAAGGAAGGCCCAAAAAUUACUUUGGACAGCAAAUGUGAGACAAAGCAGACUAUAUGAGGAAAGGAAAAGCCUCACCUUUUAUUCACGCUUAUUGUAAAAAGGUUAUUUAUGGGCUAAUAAGUAUGGACUAAUUUAUGGACUAAUUCAUCAGUACCUGAUGAAUGACAGCCACUUGACUCGUAUAAUCUCUGUCCUUUAAUGUGAUCCAUGAAUGAAGAUUGUGAACUCAUGCAACGUCUCAUUAAAGAUCUGCUAAAAAGAUACUGGAAAAUUACAGAAGUUCAGAUUGGAAGAUUACAAGCACACCUAUGCUUAUGCUGAUCUGAAACUAAAGUCAUAUAUUUAUUACUGUAUAUCUUAUGGAAAUAAUGGUGGUGUUAUUUGUGAGUAGUUUCUUAGUUAUACUAAAUUCUGGUUUCUUAGAAAUACUUCCUUUGUAAAUGAUGAGCUAACACUGAGGGGAAAAAUGCUAUUAUGAUUUUAUGGCAGCCAAGAGGUAUUAUUUAAUGCAAAAACCAUUAGCACAAGGUCAUAAUUAUGCAGUCACUUGAAAUGCCCUCUUUUAAGAUACUCUGAAAUACUGUUUACUUUCUUUAAAAACUCAUGACUAUGUAUCUUAAAGAUAGAAAUUGUACAUAUACCUGUAUUUACUUAUUUACAUUUCAAAUUAUAGAAAUUUCUGUCCAAAACAGCAGGGUUUCUUCAUAACUAUUCAUGUUUCCAACACAGGAGGACAAAAGGAGAAACUCCAAAGGAAAUACAAAGGACUUUUUAGGUCUCAGGGAUAUUUUCUCAGUCAUUACCAUUAUCCUAAUCCUUAGAAUGAAAAGAUGUAAAGCACAAACAGGAAAAUGAAGAGAAAACAAUACAGUUCCUCUUGCAUAUUAUCUGUAGAUAAAUGUUCAGAUUAAGAGUGAUUUUGAUUUGUUUCUAUAUCAACAUUACUUUUUGUGUUCCUUAAGGAAUAACAAGUUACAUCUUUAGCUGCAAAUAGCAAAGAACUUUCUAAAGACAGUAGUUAUUUUUAACAGUAGUUAAUAGCUUGUGACUUUAUUCACAUUUUCCACAAAUUCUUACUGAGAGGAUUUGUUACAGUAGAAAAAAGUUACAGCUCUGUAGCAGGAAAUUUGUUUGAAGCCUAUUUUCAAAUGGCUAUUUGAACCCGUCAUAUAUUUAUACUUUUAAAAGCACAUAACCCAAUUUUCUUUUCUCUAACAUAUGACCUUUGUUUCUUUAUGAUGAAGACACCAUGAAAGAGCUUUUGCUAUUCUAUUUUGAAGGCUUUCAUUCUCUGCCAUUGUUAAACCAUAAAAAUAUCAGUAAUGUCAUAUAAGUUUUGUGAAAAGAUUCAUUUAAGGUACUUUUACCUCCAUUCAGAUCUUUGUUGAUUAAAACUGAAAGAGAGAACAUGCGAUGUCAUUAGAAAUUUGCAUACACUAUUUUCCAACUAAGUGAUCAGAGGUGCUAAAAAGAAACUAUCACACAAGCUGGUUGAUGGCAUGAUGGCACAGUGGCAUGAUCACAUAAGAAUCAUGCAUGCCUGUCUUGGAUGAAUUGACCUUUUAUUUCCACAAAAUUUUGAAAAAAGCUAUAUGCUUCCUAAAUGAGUUCUUUGAAAGAGUCAGCAAUUGUGUGGAGAAAGUUUCACAUCUAAUAUUAUAUUCUUGGAUUUCCAAAACUCUUAUGAUGGAUUUUAGAGAAACUAAACUGUCAUGCAGAAAAAUACUUUUGCAGAUACGUACAUAAUUGAAGAAUAUGUAACAAAUAGGAAUAAAUCCUUAUUCCUCAAGGAGAUUGUCAGAGUCACAUAUGGGGCCGUCUUACAUUCCUAAACAUUCUGCAAAACAGGUUGAAUAAUGAGAUGAAAAAGCAAGCAAACUAUACAAGAUUGACCUCACUGUUUAAAACUAAAACUGACCACAGUGCUCCCCAUGUAAGCAUUUCAUAAUGUUGAGUGAUAAAAUGAAAAAUAAAAUUCAUAGCCAGUAAUUGUCAUAAUGCAUGUGGUAAAAAUAAGCUCAACUAUACCUACAAAUGCUGAACUCCGAAUGUAAUUCUAUCAGAUGGGAUAUGGAAGUUUUACGUUUUUUAAUGUACAUAUAUUUAUGGUCUCCAACUCAAUGCUUAGUCAAAAGAAAAUCUGAAUGCCAGGAAAAAUUGAGAAGAUAAUUGAAAAUAGAAGAGGAACUCAUUAUAUUGCUGAUGCAAACUGCUGUUAAUUAUCAUGCCUUGUUCUGGUGAUUCCACCUCAAAACAAAUAAAUAAAUAAAAUAAAUAAAUAAAAUAAAUAAAUAAAUAAAAAGGUACAGUAGAACAAGAAAUGAAAUGAUACAAAAGACAACAAGGGGAACGGGAGCAGAGAAAAUACAAAAGCAGACCAUAAAUGCUAUAAAACUUAGCCUAGAACAUAGAAAAUGAAAGAAAUGUGUGACAGAAACAUAACAAAUAAGAUAACUAUUGUACAUUUUUUCUGUACUUCUCAUAAUACUGUAACAGGAGAAAAUUAAAUGAAAUCAUCAGAUACCAAAUUAAGAUCAGAGAGGAGGAGUACAUUUUUCACCUUCUGUAUGAAAAGCUGGAGAACUUCCUGCCUAUGGAUAUUUUGCCAUUGGUACAAAUGGAAAGGUACAAAUGGAAAGAUGAAGCAGAUGAAUAUAAGCCUACUGAUGGCUAUGAAAUGCCUUUAUGAAAUGUAGCCUCUACAAGACUCAUGGGGCAGAGUUUGUACCCUGCAGAAAUCCAGAGUUUUUCUUUCCUUAUCCUCUUUCUUAAAUCAGCUAUGAUAACAGAUGACAAAGAAAACAUAUAAGUCUGGAGGAGCCCUUUGCCUGAAUCUGUUCACUCACACUAACAGAGAAGGACAAGUGUUAAUUUCUCUAUCCUGUCUCCUCUGGAGCCUUCUAUGCCCUAAGGGCAUACAUAAAAAUGGAGAAAUUCUUCCUGCUUUUUAAUAGGCAUGGUAAAAGAGAGUUGCUGGAAUUUUCCCCUGUAAACUAUGACACAUUCAAAGUCAAUCGAACCCUGUAAGUUCUCCCUGAUAGGAUCUAAUGGGAAUAAAAUUUCAAAAUUAGAUGUCGAGUGGCCAGUAUGCUCAAUGCUACAUAUCUUACCUUUAUGACUACUAAGACAUAUUCACAAUUCACAGGACUUCCUGAAUAAAGUUCUUUGCCUUUCAGAGGGCCAUGCCGAUAGCUAAUUUAAAAUCAACUCUGAAUUUUUUAGCAAUUUGUUUGACUUCAGAAGUAUCUUCAGAGACAUGUGAUGUAACACUAUAUAUAGUUCUUUCUAAUCUUAUUUUUUAAAUAACCAACUUGAAUUCAAGCGUUUGUUGAAAGGAAAGACUGUUCUCUGCUAUUGUAAGAAGGAUGUCAUUGUCAAGUAAUAGGGGUCAGCUCUAACCAUUAGUACACAUUUCAAAUGUUAUCAAAAAUAGGAGUUCUAAUGACAGAAUUAUGACAGAAUUGGGUCUUUUAACAAAACUUGCUGAAGAAUUUUGCAGAUUUGUCUUAAAAUACAUCAUAAAUGUGUAAAGUAUGAGACAGUAUCCUUAAAGAUUUUCAGAAUUUUACCUUAGUUUAUCUAACAAACUUUAUAUAACAGUUAAAAAUCUAAUCUGAUCAAUAGGCAGUGGAAAAAAGUCAGUGUAGACAAAGACCAAUAAGAUACAGGAAGAGUGAACACAGUGAUUUCAGAACUGUAGCUGCAGAUGUUUAACAGUACCAGUAAAAAUGUCAUCUCCUCAUAAUGCAUCUGAGUGCUUACCUAAACAUUGUCAAUGCAAUGAACUAAUGCACCUGCUAAGGUAAUAUCUGCACUAAUAAAUGAUAUAAAGUAGCUGGGAAGGCAAAUGAUAUGUUGAUAGCUGCAGCUUUUGCUAGUGAGUUAGAAUUGAGUCUCUCAGCUCCUCUGAGCACUACAGACACACUGCGCAGUGUCACGCUUGUGACUAUAAAAGUAGUACCAUAUUGGAAAGCUAGGCAGAAAAGGUCUACACGUUCUUAUUUGAAGAAGGAGAGCAACUUUUACUUUAGAUAUUACAGAUACAUCCAACUUUCCAUUGAACUUUUCAUAUUUGAAGGGGGCUAUCACCAAAAAUAUUGACAUUCCAAAGUGCUGAGCUCUGCGGAUUUCCACAUCUGACUAUGGAAGCUGAAGAACUGUGAGAAUCAGAUUUACAUUUACUUGUCUAAGAGCAGUCAUUUUCACACCUCUGGUGAAAUAUGGUUUCAGUGAAAUCAGGGACAUGUAUCACUUUUGGCUCAAAGUGACCAGGAUUCUUCAGCAAGAGAAAAAGUCUUUUGGUCCCCAGGUCCUCAUCCAGCACUACUUAAACUUUUCACCCCUGCGUUCAUUCUCACUUUUUAAAAGUUUUUUAUUUUUAAUGUUAUUAUAGACAAUUAUAAAAUUUGAUCAUACUGAGGCAAAUAAGCUUUAGUUAAGUAAUAAUGCAGAACGGCACAUCCACGUUUUAUAGACACUGGUCAGCUCCCUGUUGCAUUAAAGAAUUGAUUCAUAUUUGAAGGAAAAUAAUUUAAAUUCAUAUAUGACUUUUUCUGUAUCUGUCUGUAGCAUUCUUCUAUUUUAUGGCAGUAGAUAUUCUCCUGGAUGUCAUGCUUUGGAUUUUUCGUACCUGACUCAAAGUACUUGUUUAUUCUUAGUUAAAUAUUUAAGUAAGAAUAACCUUCCCGAAUAUUACUUAUAAUAGUAACAUUUAAAGUUUACAUACCAGUCCUCCAAAGGUUGCUUUAAAUGACAUUUUGUCAACUGGCCAUUAUCUCCGAGUCCGCACUGCAGACCUUUAAAAGUGCUCAAAAAUAAAUUACAUAGCAUACAUUUUUUUAACCAAUAUUAUCUGUGGUGAUUAUUUCUUUGAAUCUAAGAGUAGUGGUUUUCUUCCAGAAAAAUAAAAAUUCCAAAAGUUUCUAAGUUAGAAAAUGGUAUUAGAAGUUAAAUGGUAAAUUUAUUGGAAAAGCUUCUUUGAAAAUGUUAUGGAACAUCUUAGAAGUAUAUGAUAGAGAAUUUUCAGUAAAUCCUCUACAGUUAUCAGUUACUAUUUGAUAUUUUGUUUGGUAUGUGAAUAAAACAGUGGAGAACUGAAAAAGUGGGAAAUGAAACAGAGUAAGUUUGGUUGCAUUUUAUUAUUCUAAAGAGAUGCAAAUUCUAUGACUAGUACCUUCAGAAGACAACAGGAUGUCAUUAGCUCUACAUCAAAUGUAAUUUCAUUCUAACACAAUUUUAAAGUGAAAAAGAAUAUUUUCCUAACUGCUGUACAGAAGAACUACUCUACCUCCAUCAAGAUCCUUUCUGAUGUAUGUACUAUUAUCUACCAUGAUAAAAGUGAACAACUAAUUCUGGGAACAAACAAACUACAAUUUUGUGCAUGAAUUAGCUGAAACAGGAUAUGGAUAAAGCCCAGAUCAAUUAACCUCAAAUAUAAUCACACAUCUGUGUUCAAAACAGGCAUCCUCAGCUCCUCUUCCUCUCACCUGACUCAUAGGGCAGCUGUAGGCAGCAGGCAUUUCAGUGUCAAAGUUCCCCAGCUGAUUAAAUCCCGGGACUGGGGACAUCAACAGUCAUUACACAGCACAGCUGAACAGCUAGGCACCUAAAUUUAAGUUAUUCCUAACUGAAUACUACAUGGAACAUCCUUGUCAGUCAGUCCCUCAACCAAUAAUGUCUCCUAGCUCAUCUAUAGAAGUAAGUUCUGCACAAGUAUCAUAAGUUUUCUUUACAAUACUUGCCUGAAAAGAAAAAUAAUAAUACCCUAAGAGUUUAAAUGUAAUGGAAAGAUUUAUGAACCAGUCCCAGGCUCCUGACAGUGCCUGUUUCUUUCUUCCUAGUGUAGAGACAACUAAAUGUAAAAUGCAUGAGUAAUCCUGAAAUGGAGAAUGGGAGACUAUUUGUUGUGAAGGACAGAUCUCCUCACAGAGUUUUAGAGUCACUGCACUGAAGUUCUUUACAUCUGCUGCAAUACAGCAACCUGGUUUUUAGAAAAUGAGUGGAGUAUGCCACCCACCAUCCAGUCCUGUUGAAAACCUGAUGGUACAUUUCCAUGAUUUGGGGUUUGAAUUUUCUUGCACAGAAAAAAAUCAGAAAUGCAGGCUUUCUAGUUUCUAGGAAAACAGCAGCAUGUGCUACUGGACAGAAGAACAAAAGAAAAAAAAAAAAGAAAAUGAAGAAGUAAAAAGGAAAGAAGGAAAUAUCAAUCAAUUAGGAAUCAAAGAAUAGAAGUUAUCACUAUUGUGACUUUUGAUCUGAACUCAAAUCUGUAAAUGUCUGUUGUCCACUGACAAUGUCUCCUGGAUUGAUCCCCGUGAGAUUUAGGCAGGACAGCUUGUUCCUUAGCACAGUGAGGACACACUCUGCUGAAAGGAGAUUUCCUACCAUGGAGAUGAAGUGGCUGCUGAACAGUGUCUUUGUAGGAGUCCACGUUUCUGUCUGGGAUGUCAGGAGAUGGCAAGCUCUCCCUUGCAGGCACUGUGGCUAGUCCCUGCAUGUGCAGUAAGCUCACUUCACUGGGGUUCCUAGAGCUUACUGGUCCGAUGUGUAUGAAUAAAUGUAAUAGAACCAGGAAAUGUUCCUAGCCCUAAAACUUGAACAUUUAUGUUGUUAAAUCAUUAGACUAGCUCUGUGUGCAAUUUUUGCUCAUGCUAAAUAGCAUUCUCACAUAUAAAAAUGACUCAGAAGCAAGCAUUCCCAUAAAUAUUUUAUAGGAGGCAUUCUGAUCUGUAGAAGGAGGGAGUUUAGGAGCAGGAAAAGGGACAUUUCCCCCUGAUGUCCUGGAGAACAAUCCUGAGCACAUCCAUAUUAGCUGCUCUGGAAGCAGCCAUUGUGCAGCAUGUGUCUGUAAUACACCUGUAGAUUCCUUGAGCAGAGGGCUCCAGGUGAAGGCAUCUGGAGUGGCUCUAGCCAGACACUGUAUGUCCUGUACUCCCAAGCCACACCUCAGCAGAGGAGCACAUCUGAGACCUCUGGUUUCACAGCUGCCAGGUGGGAAGCAACAAAGCUACCUGUACCACAGGAACUCUUAAAAUUCCAGGUGUCUUCCUCAAAAUCCCCCUCAUCAGUUUCUGUUAGAAAGAGAUUGUUAGAAAUUUAGGUCUACAGUAGCAUCUCCCUCACAUUGUUUUUGUUUAAUCUGUAUUAAUGACUUAUAUAUUAAAGCCCACCUUAUCCUGUUUGAAUAUUUCAGUUAGUACUUGGCUGCAGCCUCUUGCUGCUCCUUGUGGUUGUGUUGGCUCAGCAGUGUUAGCAGGAGAAGAAAGCAAUAAAAGUUUGUUUUUGUUUUAAACAGUGUAAGCCAAUCUACCCCAGAAUACACACAGAGAGUUGUUACGCUGUUUAACAAGGUGCCAUUUUUACGUGGUCACUUUCUUAAUAAUAACUGCAUUGUGCUGAUAGAUGUGCCAACUAACAUAAGUUUUCCUUCCUCCAACUAAAGAUCACACUGUGACAACUUUCUCUGCCAGAAAAUGGGAUUAUUUAUAUCUAGUAAAAACUUCUAUGAACUAGUUAGUGUUGCCAAGCGCAUACUCUUUUGCUGCAGAUGGCUAUGGUAGGGCAGAAUUACUCUUUUUAAAGUUACUUCUAUGCUUGAAAAUGUAUGUUGACAAGAAAAAGCAAAUUAGAAAUAAGCCACAAAAGUAGUUUCAAUGCUGCGGUCAUGCAAUUCAUCAGGAAAAUAUAAGGGCUUAUUGAGACUUACAUGAGUGAUUCUGCUACAGAAGUAGAGUGCUCAUUUCAUUAAAAACAAAAUCAAAAACAUGAACACUACUAUUAAAAGGGAUCAGCAUUUUAAAACUGUGAGAUCUAAGACUAAUGCACAGUGAUUGACAGCCUAUUGAAUACUCCUCUGUUGCUGGUAGUGACUGAUUGACUGAUUCCCUGCUCACGUAUUUGAAGAAAACUGCAUUCCUGUUUGAACUAGCAGAAAGAAACAAAACAUUAUUAUUGAAAGAUCUGUUCCUGCUGCAAGAAAGUGUCAACACAGAUAUCCAGUGUAUGUGCCUGUACCAGAUUUGUCCAAAUUGGAAAAUCUGUUUGGGAGGGGAGGAGAAAGAAGAGUUUGAAAAACAAAUGGGAGUGUGAUGGUAGAACUCACCUAGUACCAGCAUUAGGGCACACAAAUGCCACUUCUUCAAGGACAGAGGAAACUUGCAGGGCUGAGGAAUGCCAGUUCCUGUCACCAACAGCAAAUAAGGCAAGCAUUAUAUCCAACUGCUUUUAUUUCCCUGACUGAAAUGACCAGAACUUCAUUUGUAACAGGGGGAACCUGCAGCGGGAAUCCAGGGUAAGGUGUAAGCUUGGGGCUCUAGUUUUGCAUACAGCAAGAACUCUUCAUUGUUCUGUUCUUUUUAGUGACAUGGAGGAAAGAUGACUGCAAAGACUAGGUGAUGUACUUGUCAUAAUGUAGGUGAUAGUAAAAUGGAAGUAACCAUCGUAUAUAGAAUUAAUUACAAAUAUUGGGAAUUUUGUGCGAUUCUUCUCUUAAACUGCACCUGUUUUGUACUGUAGCUGCUUCUCUGACAGUAGAAACUCUACAGGAAAUGUAGCUAAAUGAGUGAAACUUGUUUAUGGAAGUGAUAUCGUCUUUAGUAAAAGGACUUUUAAAAUUCUGUUACUAAUGAAGAUACCUGAUAGACAUUUCUGAAGGAAAAUAAAUGAGGUUCAGAACUGGACUUUCCUGGGAGGCAAUCAAAGGGGUUAUGGGGCAUCCAUCAUUGAAGGGUUCUUAAAAAAACUUGAGGAUCUCCAAAUUCAGCUAGACAGAAUCUAGAUCUAUCUUUGACAAUAGCUCUACUGCAAUUAGGCUGUUGUAACAUACUUUAUCUAAAGACUUUAAUAACUGAAUAGCUAAUGCACAUGAUAUUCUUUUUAUGUGUUUUUUUCAGAGACCCUGAAGCUUGAAAUAAGACCUUGGAAUGUCUCAAUAAAUAAGUGCUGAUCAGAACUGAUUUCUCUGUAGGUGAAUAGCAGCAGUAGUUUCCUCAUGUUAUUGACUAUUCAUAGUAAGCACUCAGCCUGAUCAUUGCCCGUAGGGACUAUCAAAGAGUUUCAAUAACAAAAAUAUAUUGUGCCUCCCUGUUUCUGUUGUUUUGAUUCUGCUUAUAAUAGCAUUUUGUUUAACUGUUUUUUGUAGCUUGUCCAUCUCAGCUGAUCUUUUACAUGCUGUACAAUAUCAUUUUCUCUUUGAAAUCCUUGAUCAGUUUCACUUAUCUUCUGACAUCACAUUCAGGCUGCUUACAGCUACUCUCACACUAUACCAUCCAUACUUAUCUCUUAUUUCCUCCCCUUCUUUUCAGUGCUUUUCACUAUCCCAAAGGCAUUUUUUUUUCUUUCCCUACUACUGCUUCAGUUAUAAAUAAGCAGAAAUGUUAAUUAUUCAUUUUAUGCUUCUUCCUUCUUUUACAAUGCAUUUCAUGCCUCUAUUUUUUUCCUCUCAUCAUAUGGAUGAGUUCUUUAGGGAAGAAUUUACUUUGAGAAAUAUUGUAUUCAAUUUGUGACUCAAGGUUAAUUCAUUUGCAGCCAUAAGGAUAGCAAUAACCAUUACAUCACCCUUUCUGUCUGCAGUUCUUACUGAAAUAUAUUCCAUUGUUCACUGGUAGCUAGAAAUUUUCCCUAUACCUGUGUUCCACAUGUAUCUCCCUUGAAAUAUUUUUAUGUAAUUCUGAAAAUUCAUUACCUUUAUGCUUACCUUAACAACAACUGUUUAGUCAACUAUAUUUAGACCCGAAUGCUAUAUUUAAGACAAAAAACAAAAACAAAAACAACCAAAAAAAAAAAUCUGUACUAUUUGGAAAUUUCACUUUAAUCAAAUAUUUUCAAUAUAAAUGUAACUUCUUAUUUUAGGCUUCAUGCAUUCUGGUGAAUGUAUUACUUUGCCACAACUUUUAGAUAAAUACAGUUCACACUGAUGAUGUUCUGUAAGUUUUAGUAAUUAUUUCAGCAUUAUUAGCUCGCCAUUCUAUUUUGUCUGUUCUUGAAUUUUAAGGGAGUAGAAUAUACAGUACACUUAAACUACUGGGGAGCCAUACUAAAAAAAUAUAAACAUUUAAGAACAAAAUCCACUUCAGUUUUAACAGUAUUCCUGUAUCUGCCAAUUGUUUACUGAUUGCUUGAAUCACACCAAAAUUAAUCAACCAGUUCUCCUUCAGCUCAAAGCUUUUGGUUCUCUAAAAACCACCAUUGCUUUCAGAAUAAUAAGCUCUCCAAUAAGCUGUGAGCCAUCAAUUUAUUGCACAUCAAAAGAAGGCUAUAGACUCUAGCUUUUGCUUUAGGCAGUUUCAUGUCUCUGUAUAACUCCAGUAGGUUUUUCUUAUUCCAAACAUAGGCUUGCCUCUUCUGGAGGAGGCAUUUUUCUGGGGCCUUCCAAAUACACAGUUACCCAGUUAAUUUCAUCUGGAUAUACUUCCACUGCUACAAUCAGCUAUGUUGUGUAAAUAAAUUUUUAACUACUCAUUCAGUUUUAUUAACAAGAACCCUUUGAAGGUGUUUUAAUGUUCAUCUAAGCAGACGGUUUUCUCUUGGACAAAGCAAGAGCUGAUCUGAUGUUAUCAUCAGUUGUGCAUAACCAUCUUUUCCCAUUUUCCUUUCAUCAUGCAUUCCAAGGAAUCCAAAUCCUUUCUGCAUCUUUCCAACACUAAGUGGGAAAAUGCAUUCAGAGACAGAUGGGCUUCUCUAUCAACAUGGACUUCUUAUAUCAUCUCAGCUGCAAGCUGUUCAACCCACUUUCCAGUAAGACCAUUAGACCUCUCAGCUGGCACCACUUUCACUUAUCUUCUACAUCCUCUACUCCUGCUCCAGUGUCUCUGGUCUAUUAUUUAAUUUGGCAGACAAGCACACUCGACUGGCCCAGAUACAUUUUCUGGCCUCGCAAGCUUUGUUGGCUGCCAGAAUAUGAGUAUAUCCCUCAGCAACGGAAAUAAGAAGGACUUGCUGUUUAAUGUAUCUCAUUCAUUAACUCACUGAGAAAAGUUUUCUUAUUUCUUUCUUAAAUAGCAAACUGUGACUCACUGACAUGUUCUGUGUCCUAAAAUAACACUCAUUUCUUCUUUUAAAAAGCUGACCUAAGAGAUUAAGGCACAGUGCUUGACAGCACCUUAGGAAGUGGCAGCUCCCAAGAAAAAGAAGGCUUUACUAGAAUAAUGAAGCAAAAACUUUAUCAGCAAUUCCAAGAAUGGCACAUUGCAGUAUUUUUUUAUUAUAGUUGUUUUAUGAGUUUUGACUACAUGUUAUUUUGCAGACAUACAAUGAUCAAAAUGUCAUUUCCUGUAUUUCCUACCAAGCUUCCAUGCAAAAUUGGUCAAAUCUGACUAUAACUCAGUAAAGGAGAGAAUUAAGUUGAAGAUCUUUCACUAACAAGUGAAAUCUAUAUCUUUUCAAUCAGCUUAAAUAGUAAGCUAUACUAAAUUUUGUAUCAGAACUACUUGUGUUGCAAGUACCUAAUGUAAAUAUAAAAUUUCCUUUAAAGUUUUCAAUAAUAAUAGUAAUAAUAAUAAUAUAUAACAACAUAACUUGAUAAUGUUAUAUUCACAGCUAUGUUCUCAUACCACAUAGAGCUACAAAAUAAAAAAUAACAGCAAGCAUUAAUUCAUGCAUGAUAUUUUGCUCUUGUAGAGAUACUUUGUGUAUAGAUUUCACCUAAAUAUUUUUUUACUUGAAUUUUUAACACUGGGAAUUAUUUAAAAAAUCAGUUGAGCAGACUGCUUCAUGUACAGUGUUUACUAAAUUGCUCCUAUUUUAUUAUGUUUGUGCUGUGUAAAACCAAUAUAUUAGAAACAUAGUAAAGGCAAUUUAAACCUGACAGUAUGUUAUUUAAGCUGAGCUAGAUGUCUCCACCAAGUUCUAAUACCAUAGUAUCUGAAUAUUGAAACAUAUAUUUAUAUAAACAUAUAUUUAUGAAACAUCUUUUGAUUCUGAAUUGUGUUAAUGGCUUAAUAAUGCCUAGAGAGUGGUUUAGCCCAGUAAGCCAGAUAGUCAGCAAUCUGUCUUCACUAUUCUAAUUCAUUGCAAGCUCUUCCCACUGUCACGUAUGAAGAUUAAAUCAGUUUUCCCUGGUUUAAUGUCCAGUGAAUAAGGUUUUCCCUACAAACUCAUUUGCCACUAGGUGCCACUAAAGGUCAAAAAGGCUGCAGAGGAGUCAGAGAGCUGGCAAUAGACAGUAUUGUACUCACAGUCAUUUUCCUUAUUGUCCAAAAGAUGCACAUCUCUACAGCAAAGGCAAGUAGCAGUCACAUAAUGUUGCACUUGGCUAUUAAGUGAACGAACUUGACCACAUCAUCAAAUGCCUAAUAAGAAAUGCCACAAUCUCUGGAGAUUAUUUAAUGAGUUAAUACAUUCCUCUAGGUUACACAAAAAUGAAUUAAGAAAAAUGUAUUGGGGAAAUAUUGUGGGAUCAUAGCUUCUGAAGAAAACUCUGUUGGAUUGUAAACUAACACAAGUAAGGUGCAACUGAGACAGCAGCUGACUCUUCUGCAGUAUGUUUCAGGCAACAGGUAAAAAUAUAUGCGAAAGGUGAAUAUGUAAAAAUUCUUAGCAUAAUAAGGUAUUGUACAGUUACAAGGAGAUGCUCUGAUAUGGGUCCCUAACUGGGCUAGGAAAAGCUUCUGGCUUUGAGGUGAAUGGGAGGUGAAAGAAGUUAAGAAUGGAAUCACUUUGCGUGCUAGGUUUCCUUUGUUCCCCAGUGCUCCUGCCUCUUCACUCUUUAUUUUGAUUGGAAACAUUUACACUCUCUUAAAUCUGGAUUGUAGGUAGCACUCCUAACCUUUGUGCAGAGAGUGGUAUCAUCUCCUUUGUCCAAGGAGACCUCAGCAGGUCAUUCCGUUCAUGAGGUACAAUCCCAUCAGUAAAACUUCCUUCUGUGACAUUCUUCAGAAAUAAAUGUCUGAUUCCUUCUGGUAUGUCUGAAGCUUCACAAAGAGCUUUGGCUGGGUAUGGGCAUAUUGCCAUUCCCCAGAGACAGUUUGAGCCUCCCUCCAUGAAAAGAAUCGUUGGUCAGUGUUUUUUUCUGUGCCUAAGCUUUUGUUUUUCCUUGACCUGUACCUGGAGUAUUCUUCUGGGAAAUUAUUUCUUCCUGGAAUUUGACAUUUUUUCGUAGCCUAAGAUAACUCAGAAGUGAAUAUGAUGAAUGUUAAUAUCAUCAGUGAUCUUUUAUACUUUAAAGCUUAUAAAUAAUUUGGGGUGAUUUGCACACAUGGGUACUAGGCAGAAGUUAGAAUUCUGGCAAAUGUUUAUCAAGUAUUUGUGUAUAUUUUGAACCAGCCUAAGAAUGUCUAGGUACCAUGAGAUCCUUUCAAUUGGACUGGCUUAAGUACAGUAUUUAUUUAGGAUAUAUUAUUUAUGAAGUACAAAAAUGUGUGUUUGCUAAUAUUUUUCCAUAUGGAUAAGGAAUUAUUGCAAAGCAGUAUUCAGUAUUACUAGGUUUAACUUUACUCAUUGGUUCACAUUUUAGUGAAAAAGACUCGCCAUCAUAAAAAAUACAAUUGAUGUCAGUUGUCAUGUCUGGUGCAUGCUGGCUUGACAAAUAGUUUAAAUAUAGAGCAAACCAACCACUUCAUUUUAGUGAUGUGGAAAAAGGGAUUCAUAGGGAUAUACUUAGUGUUAUUUGUGUCAGGCUCAAAUAUGCAGGUUAUUUCCUCAAUUUCCUGGGCAAUGGCAGUAGUCUUAUGACUUGCUUGAAUAACCUCUCUGUGUAAGUCCAAGAAGCAACAGAUCAAAUAUGAAUGGGUCUGUAGUUUACAGCAAUGGCAGACUUUCUUUUAUAGGCUGGCAGAAGUUACAGCACUGUGGCAACGCACUGCACUCCUGUAAACUUCCUGUCUGCACAUUGAUUCAUGCAGACCAUUCUGCCUCCCUAUCCUUUAGGAGAUGAUACCCUGGAACUGCUGGUCAUGCAGAGACUGUGAAAACUUUGUUUUGCGUUCUGAGAGAACCCGCUGUUAUGACUUAAAUUGAAGAGGUGGGAAUACACUUCUCAAGGAGGCACCCGGAUCAUCACUCACAUUUCAGCACGCGUAGGAAGAAGUGGAGGAAACAGUUACCAGAGAUAUCUGAGUAAUGGUGUUAACCACACAGACUAAAGUGGUUGAAAGAAAGUUUCAGCACAUCCAGAACUGGAAAGUGAGCUGCAGCAGGGAACAUCAGCAAGGAUCAAAUAUUUCAAACAGAAGAUGCCUUCUUUACUGUUUGUUCUUUUUCUUUAAUAAAAGAUAUAUGGUUGUUCCGAAUGUGAAUGAUAUGUAUAGCAGAUGAAUCCAGCACAGUUUGUUACUGAGUAUGUGAGGAACGUGUUACCUUGGGAAAACAGAACUAAACAGUAGAAGUUAAUUGAGAUUUAGGUACAAUGAUUAAUAAUUAUUUUCCAUUUUGUGUUGUCUCCUGUCUUACUUUUAAGUUUGCGCAUAUUUUAAAGAUUGGAAUUUUAAAACUGCAAAAGCCAUUCUUGUUUCAGGGAAAAAGAGGAGAGAAAGCAUCUUUUCCAUCCGCGUAAGCAGGCCUAGACACAAAUUGUCUUCAUGAACAGAUUAGUUUUUUAAUACAACACAUUAUACAUAACAAGGACUAUUUGGAGCUUUUACAGCAUUUGACCUUGUUGCAUGUAGCGCAGAUAUCAAGAACACACCUGUUGUUUAUGUCUGUUCAACAAUAUUACUUGGCUGUGGCAAACAGAAGAAUAAAUCCAGCUAUGCCAAUUUCCUGUUCAGAUUCAACACCUAAUAGACAUCUUUUUCAUCUUUGCUGAGAGAAAGAGGUAUGCACUUCUUUCGCUUCUUGUCAUGUCUCUCCAUUCUCUAAUGGAGACACAAGCAUGGUGAUGCACAGCUGAGUAAGUGCUCCUGGCAUGUCUAACAAGUUUUACUAAGUGUUUCUGCAAAGGCUGCCACUGCAGACCCAAACAUUAGCUGUAUGUAUGGUGCAGUGCAGUCACAUGUGAUCACCAUUAGAAUUUCUUCAGCUGCAGAUCUUUUGGUGUAUUGUGCAACCACUAACAUAUCACAGAGCCAAAUCAGGUGGACACUCUAUUUCUGUUUGUAUCUGCAUUACUAAUGCAGCACAGCAUAGGCAGGGAUUUUGGGGCCGCAUUUCAAGCCAUGUAUUUUCUGCCCCGAGUCAGAUACCAAAGAUGAGAGUGGAACAGAGUGGAAAAAUGUCUUCUGUGUUGCAGCUUCUGCAGAUUCCCCCUCUUGGUGCAUAACAGUUAUCUCAAUUUGAUGAGCUGACAUCAUCACUCAGUUAACUAAAUGUGGCUCAAAGAGUGUUGACUUAAGGAAGUGUGAAACCUGUAAGGAACAUGCCAGAGCCCUCCAACUUCAGGUCAAGAAAAUAAGGGUUCUCACAACCUAAGAAAUAUAUUACUGUUUCUCACAGUGAUCUUUUCAUACACUAAUACAUUCCUUCCAUGUGAAGCUGUAUAAAUAGUUAACAGUGUCUUUUACUAGGUUAAAGGACCUUGUGUGCUCUUUUUUUUCCAAGUGUAGUGGGUUCAUACCUCCAUGGCAGAGGAUUCAAAAGAAAUUUUAUCUGAAACUGCAAAAUAGUGCCUAAGGUGGUAAUGCCUUAUAUGUCUCAAUAAUUAUUAAUUAUUAACUAUUAAUGCCUCAAUAGUUAUCUGAAGUUAGCAGAGGUAAAAUAUCUCAUAAAAAAAGAAAGAAAGAAAGAAAGAAAGAAAGAAAGAAAGAAAGAAAGAAAGAAAGAAAGAAAGAAAGAAAGAAAGAAAGAAAGAAAGAAAGAAUAAACUAUCUUAUAUCUUUGCAAAGAUAAAAUAAUCCACACUGACGCUUUUAUUUAGUUUUCAUGAUUAUAGCAAAGUCAUGAGUUGAUCUUUUUAUUAUGGUUGUCCUACAACUCUUGUCAAAAGUCCACAGGCGUGCAGUGAGAGUGACCUGCAGUCUAAAGAAAAACACCUAUGCAGAAGUACUGGAGGAAUUACUUUUCUUUUGCCUACAGAGAUAACUGAGUUGAAGGAGAAAGACAGACUAAACUAAACCUUCAUACUUUUUAAAAGAAACUGCCAAAGAAGAGUAUAAACUACUUUCUGUGCUCAAUGAGAACAAAACUAGACAUUAUAAGCACAAGCUGGUGCAAGAAAGACUUACAUUAGACAUUACAGAAAAGAACAUUAACUGUCUAAUGUUUGCUUAUUACAAUAGAUUGUCCUGGGAUUGUGGAAUUACUAUCAAUGCUUGGAUUUAGGAAACACUAAGAUCAUCAUCUUUCAGGAAUAGUUCAGAGACAGUUGAUGUUUUCUUCUUGUAUAUGGACAAACUGCAUGACUUGCAAUGUUAUGUCUAGCCUUGGUUUUUAUAAUUCUCCAAUUGGUUUGGUCAGAAGUUGCUGAAACCAGCACAGCAAACAGAUCUAUCCUAGUUUCCCCUUGCUCUGUCUUGUUAUAUAAAAGGCUCACCUGAACCAUAACCUUCAAAUCAGAGUUCUCUUUAAACACCAUAGAUGAACAUUUUAAAGGUCAUUCUAAUGUAUAUAUGAUUUGUGCAUACUGAUCCUAUGUACUUUUGUAACAACUGGGUUAUUUGGUCAUAACUGUAAAAUCUUACUUUUUUGUGCUGUAAAUAUAUUUAUAUAUGUGUGUUUUUGAAUAUUUAUCUAUAUAUAUGUACAUAGGAAUUUCUUGCAUUGUCUCACAAAAAAGAGAAUGGAUCUGCAGGCAGGCUAAGCUCAUUGUGAGUGCUGCUGAUUGCUUGUGAGGACCAUAUGAGCAGCCAAGGUGAUAUUUGUCUCCUCAAAUGUAGGCAUCUGUCUUGUAAGUGUAUGCAUCGGAGUCAUUCAUUCUAGACUUCCAUUACAAACAAUGGAGAUUAAUAGGAACAUCCAGAGCACAGUUCACCUCAUUCAUCUCAUGUUUCUGUAUGUGUCUAAAGUGGUCAGAUUAAUUCUGCAUCAUUUCUCCCUGUUGACUUCAAAGGGAACCUAGGUGACUAGACCAAUAUAGCCAUCUUUUUUUUGUUUAAAGCUGGUGAGAUGAUUCUUACCUUGCACUAAGUCUCUACAUCUCUAUACGGGAUUAAAUGCUACUUGUUAUGCUGUUCUCCUUACCAACAUUUUUUGAACAUUGAACACAAAAAGGCUCUUAGUAUACUUUUUGCACUGUGAUUCAAACUCUACAGGGCUUGUUUGCAUCUAGUGUAUUUGGCCAUCUACAUGGUCCCAAAUAAUAUUACCUUAAUCAAAAUCUAUGAGGGAAGAUGAUGGAUGCUUCUUCUAACUGAAAGCACUACGUUAGGACAUACGACUUUAUGACACCAAGUUGGAAGGGAGUGUUGAUCUGCUGUACAGUAGAAAGGCACUAUGAAGAGACCUGGAUAGACUGAAUUGAUGGACCAAGGCAAACCAUAUGAAUUUCAAUAUUACCAAGUGUCAAGACCUUCAUUUUUGUCACAACAAUCCUAGACAACCCUAGUUUACAGUGGCUAGAAAGCUGCCUGAUGGAAAGGGAUCUUGAUGGACAAAUGGACAGUCAGCUGAAUGUGAGUCAGCAGUGUGCCCAGGUAGCCAUGAAGGUCAAUGGCAUCCUGGCUUGUAUCAGGAAUGGUGCAGUGAACAGGACUAGGGAACUAAUCCUGCCCCUAUACUCAACACUGAUGAGGCCUCACCUUAAGUACUGUGUUCGAUUUCAGACACCUCAGUACAAAAAAGAAAUUGAGGUGCUGGAGCAGGUCCAAAGAAGGGCAACAAGACUUGUGAAGAGCUUGGAGAAUAUGCCCUACGAGGAGCAAUUCAAGGAACUGAGGCUGUUUAGUACGGGGAAAGGAGGCUGAGGGGAGACCUUACUGCUGACUUCCAAUACCUGAAAGGUGCUUACAGUGAGAGUGGGGUUGGUCUCUUCUCACUGGUGACAGGUGACAGAACAAGGGGAAAUGGCCUCAAGUUGUGCCAGGGGAGGUUUAGGUUGGAUGUCAGAAAAAACUUAUUUACAGAAGGAGUUGUUAAGCACUGGAAUGGGCUCCCCAGGGAGGUGGUUGAGUCAACACCAUCCCUGAAUGUGUUUAAAAACCAUAUGGAUGUGGUGCUCAAGGACAUGAUUUGCCAGAGGGUUGUUAGUUAGGAUAGUAUGGUUGGGUUGUGGUUGGACUUGAUGAUCUUUAAGGUUUUUCCAAUCAGAGCAAUUCUAUGAUUCUAUGAUUCCGGCCAGCCUGGUCUAGUUCCCAGGGCAGCCUGGAAUGGGGAGGUUGAUGGCCCUGCAUGUGGCAGAGGGGUUGGAGAUUCACAAUCCUUGAGGUCCCUUCCAACCCUGGCCAUUUUGUGAUUUUGUGAUUUUGUGAUUCUGUGAUUCUAUGAUUCCAUGUAGAUGUUAUGUUCAAUUGCUCUUCUUCUGCUACACACCUAAUAUUGUAAAAUGGAGCUGUGAAUGUAAUGCAGGUUGAAUCCCAGCCAGGAAAGUAAAUGGGAAGUGAAAGAACUUUGAUCAGCUUAAGCUAAUUGUUCUGUAACUGUGUGCGUACUGCAGAGCAAUGGGGCUUAGCACUCUUCAGGGGAAACCUGCAAUUUAUUUGUCUGGGAAAACAAGGGUUCAAAUCAGAUGCAUAAGUUCUGUGGGUGAUUUAUUAGAGGGUUUGAUAAAAAAAAAAAUCAUGAAACAGUCAUUUGGAAAUGAACUACUUUGAAACUGGGCUCAAAACCAUGAGUUGGUUAUGGUUUGGUAAAAUCUGUAAAAUUGUAAACCUUAAAGGAAGAUAGCUCUCAGACAAGUACCAAAGCCAUAAACAAAAAUAAAUAAACAAAUAAAUUAAAAGGUUAGAACUAUCAUAAUAUUUUUUAUUUAAAUGAUCUUGUUACAGAAUCCAAGAGAAUUCUAUUUUAACUACAAUCUGAUUUUUCUUCUUCUCUUCCUAAACUGAUUUUUUACGUGAUUUGAUCAUCUUUUCUUGUUUCCAUGGUAUUUAUUACCUACCCACUUAUUUUCUAUUCUGUGUUGAGCUCAGAAUGAAAACCUUUAGUGCUGGAGCCAGAUUACUACUUGCUGUGAAUCAGAACAGUAGUAUCAACUUCAGUGAAGCCACUGUUUAUUUAUAUUAUCCGACCUUUGAAAUUUUAUGAUGUAGAACAUUAUGAAGAAACUCUGAUAAGGAAGUCCAGUAUUUUGUUAGAUAUCUUCAUGUUUGUUUGUAUUGACUUUCAAAAUAAUUGGAUAAUAUAGGGCAAAAAAUGUGCUCUCAGAAUUCAAUCACUUAAUGUUUUAUAAAAGAGAAAAAUGGACAGGCUGGACAGCUCCAGGCUCACUGAGUAAAUGGUAAAUAAAAGAAUGUAGUGAUGUAUUCAGUUCCACAGAAUUUAAUUAUAAUUUCAACAUCUUUAUUUCUUUUCACUGAAAGGUUUAUGUCUUACAGGUUAGGUGCUACAGCUCAGCACGGGCACUAUGUAUCUGGCACCUGCACAGACACCUACCUACAUGUGUGAAAAUCUACAUUCAGUGAUUUGCACUAUUGCAGCCCACAUCAAUCAUCCCUUUUUUUAACAGCCUUCUCUUGAAGAAAAGAUAAUCUUAGAGAAUGCUUCUUUGCGACAGGCUCAAAUGGACAACUUGCCCACAAAUGCGCUUAUUUACCACUAUGUAAACUGCUUCUAAUUUGUGAUGUUGUAACAUCCCUAUGGCAACUGCAGCACAUGCUUACAUGAGGAAGUCAUUUUAGGAAAGUAUUGAAUUUAUUUUUAGCUUCUUUUAGUGAAAUCUAGCAGCUGGAAAUAAAGUGAGCCAGCACCAUUUUACUAGCCAAAGGCUUUCCAGAAGAAAGAACUACUUGUUUCAAUCAUACGAUUUCAUUAUUACUUAAUUAUUUCUUUACUGCACAGAAUAAUUUAUGCUCUUCUUAAGACAUUAAUGUCAAUGUAUAUUUUUUUCUUAGUUGAUUAAAAUCAAAAUUAUAAUUUAAAAUUUAAUGACAACACCAUCAUCAUCAUUGUAUUGUAUUUAUUACUGACCUUAAUUUCACGACUGAUUGUAGAAGCAAGUGACGUGUUUUGUCAUGAUAAAAAUUAUUUCCUUAAACAUUCAGUGAACUAACUUCAAGAGGAAAGCUAAAAAUUAAUGAUCCUGCCCCAAGAACCUAGUGGUUAAAGUACAGCUGUGAGCUAGGAAGAUUUCCUAAAGACCUCUAGCAUCCUCGUGAAAAUUCUCAUGUGAAAGCCACAUGGCAACAAUGACAGCCCAAUUUUCAUCUUUUUCAAGGCAGAUUCCAGAAUUGUGUGCAUCUCAAGUCACCUUCAUCAUGUGCUGUUUAAGUUGUCUUGGCAAUGACUGGAGUAUUACCAAGUCAUGUCCAGCAGCAUAAGGAGGUUUUGUGUCAUUUUGGAUGUUCAGCUCACUUCAAAUGUUCAAGUUAAAUGGCUUUUCCUGAAUUUAAGCACAAAUGUUCACCUUAAACAACAAAAAUGCUUUGUUGAAUACUUGCCAGCAUACUCAGAGCCUCACUUGUUAUAUAUUUGAGAUAUACUUGAAUACUGAGAAUAAAUAUACUGUUUUUUUCCUUCUCAAAGCCCCCUCUAUGUAUAGAUUCAGUGUUGUUUCAUAAUGCUCUCAGCUUCUCUUUGGCAGCUGUGCUCCAGAACAUUUUUGGCAUGAACACGCACUUAUUGGCAGUACCUCAAACUUUUAUUAGACUAUAUAUAUUAUUUCUUUUUCAAUUGUCCCAGUUUACUAUAUAAAUGUAUGUUCCUCCCAGUUUCCUUUCAGUGGAUUGUAGUCACAACACUGAACUUCUUACAUUAACAUUAGAGGAAUUUUCACACACAUACCUCAUUAGCAUUCAAAGAUCCACAGACUCAUCCAUUCCAAGUGCUUUUGCUUGUAAAGUUUUAGACAACCCUGAGAACAGCAAUUUCUUUCUCAAGUAAAUUAGCCCAGUAAACUUCUUCUCUGCCUUUGCCUACAUUCUCUAUGCUUUUCUGAAGAUAUAUACUAUGGAGGUAAAAGUGGCUUGAUUUUCACUGAUCUAUUUUUAGGCAAUUUAUUGAGAUAAAGUUUCAGUUCUGCUGACUGUGCUGGGAAGGUAGAUUUGUAAGUACUGGGAAAUAACAAAAGCAUUAAUUCACACAGAUAAAUACAUUGGAAUUUUUAAUUUCAUUUAUGUUAACAUGCUGAAUUGUCCAAUGGCAGAUGUCUUUGACUUUCUAGACACUAUAGAUAUCUCUGUGCAAUAUCAGAUUGCAGAAAUCAGUUGUGCAUCUAAUUAAACACAGAAAGUAAACUUUUUUUAAAAAAUGCAUUUUAACAGUUACCCAUCUUCCUCUUAAAUUCUGUCUGUACAUUCUAUUAUUUGCUGCAAUAUUUUUCCACGAGUUACAAAUUUGCUGACUGCAAUUUUCCCAGCUCCCCAUUUGAAAAAAAAUGGUGGUUCUGUUGGCCCUUUCCCAGUUGUCUGCACCCUCAGCUAGGCUGCACUAAAUUUUGAUUUUUAAUAUGUUUUACAUGUCUUUAUUGUUCCAGAUUUAUUGUAUUUUUUGUAUUUGUUAAUACAUAUUAAUAUCAUAUCAUUUUUAUUACAAAUUAUGUAUCUGUAUCAUGAACAGAGCAUAAUGCUAAAUAAAUCAUGCUGUUGAUCAAAUGGCAAGGCUUCCAGAUUCAAUUAUUUAUGCCUCAUAUUUUUUGAACUAAUUUGUAGACUCCUAAUGUAAUCAGCAAACUGAGAUGCAUUUUUUCUUUUUUUUCAUUUUGUCAUGUCUGAACAGCUAGUUUCCUUUUUCUUUCUUUUUGCUAAAGUCUGGAUCACUGUAAAUUUAUACUAGCUACUAUAUACGAGUCUUAUUUGUCUAGCAAUUGUUGACUUUUUAAAAAAAUCUCUAUUUAUCCAAAUUAUCCCUGUAUUCAAAGUUGAAGUAAAGUCAUUUUCUUAAUUGAACAGUCACUUUUCAACAAUACUGAGCACCAGCUCAAUAAAAACAGCAUGAAGUAAUAAUUUUUUUUUCAACAUUUAAGAGAAGAUAAUAGAUCAUAUUGUUAGAGACAGUAUUUUACUCCUGACAAAUUAGUCAUGAAUUAUUUUAAAACUCUAAAUUUAGGAGUUUAAAGUAUUUUUUUAAUACAGAAUGGUGUGGAAUAAGUAUGGGAACUCAUAAGGGGAAAAGUCUACUACAAUGCAAUAUGUACUAGGAGGAUUAGCUUUAACCUUUU